rnacentral:rRNA from 1 species
AUUGCCCUAGUAACGGCGAGUGAAGCGGCAACAGCUCAAAUUUGAAAUCUGGCUCUCGGGCCCGAGUUGUAAUUUGUAGAGGAUGCUUUUGGCAAGGUGCCUUCCGAGUUUCCUGGAACGGGACGCCAUAGAGGGUGAGAGCCCCGUCUGGUUGGACACCGAGCCUCUGUAAAGCUCCUUCGACGAGUCGAGUAGUUUGGGAAUGCUGCUCUAAAUGGGAGGUAUAUGUCUUCUAAAGCUAAAUACUGGCCAGAGACCGAUAGCGCACAAGUAGAGUGAUCGAAAGAUGAAAAGCACUUUGAAAAGAGAGUUAAAAAGCACGUGAAAUUGUUGAAAGGGAAGCGCUUAUGACCAGACUUGGGCUUGGUUGAUCAUCCGGCGUUCUCGCCGGUGCACUCUUCCAGUUCAGGCCAGCAUCAGUUUGCCCCGGGGGAUAAAAGCUUCGGGAAUGUGGCUCCUCCGGGAGUGUUAUAGCCCGUUGCAUAAUACCCUGGGGCAGACUGAGGACCGCGCUUCGUGCAAGGAUGCUGGCGUAAUGGUCAUCAGCGACCCGUCUUGAAACACGGACCAAGGAGUCGUCUUCGUAUGCGAGUGUUCGGGUGUCAAACCCCUACGCGUAAUGAAAGUGAACGCAGGUGAGAGCUUCGGCGCAUCAUCGACCGAUCCUGAUGUUCUCGGAUGGAUUUGAGUAAGAGCAUACGGGGCCGGACCCGAAAGAAGGUGAACUAUGCCUGUGUAGGGUGAAGCCAGAGGAAACUCUGGUGGAGGCUCGCAGCGGUUCUGACGUGCAAAUCGAUCGUCAAACAUGGGCAUGGGGGCGAAAGACUAAU